UACGGAAGGUGCAAGCGUUAAUCGGAAUCAUUGGGCGUAAAGGGCGCGUAGGCGGGAUGGCAAGUCAGAUGUGAAAUUCCGGAGCUCAACUCCGGAGCUGCAUUUGAAACUACUAUCCUAGAGGGUAGACGGAGAAAGCGGAAUUCCAUGUGUAGCGGUGAAAUGCGUAGAUACAUGGAGGAACACCGGUGGCGAAGGCGGCUUUCUAGUUUAUUCCUGACGCUAAAGCGCGAAAGCAAGGGGAGCAAACAGG
rnacentral:rRNA from 1 species